GAUGAACGCUGGCGGCGUGCCUAAUACAUGCAAGUCGAGCGAACAGACGAGGAGCUUGCUCCUCUAACGUUAGCGGCGGACGGGUGAGUAACACGUGGAUAACCUACCUAUAAGACUGGGAUAACUUCGGGAAACCGGAGCUAAUACCGGAUAAUAUAUUGAACCGCAUGGUUCAAUAGUGAAAGACGGUUUUGCUGUCACUUAUAGAUGGAUCCGCGCCGCAUUAGCUAGUUGGUAAGGUAACAGCUUACCAAGGCAACGAUGCGUAGCCGAGUUGAGAGACUGAUCGGCCACAUUGGGACUGAGACACGGCCCAA
rnacentral:rRNA from 1 species